AACCAUCUUUCCUUGGGGUAGCGCUACUGUCCAAGGAACAAGUAGAGAGGGCAGUACUGCUAACGCCUACACAACGCCCGCAUCAACUAGAGCUUUGCUUUACUUUGGUGCAAUUUUUGGAAAA
rnacentral:ncRNA from 1 species